rnacentral:rRNA from 1 species
UUCCGGUUGAUCCUGCCGCCGGGCACCGCUAUUGGAGUUCGCUUAAGCCAUGCGAGUCGAGAGGGGUAAGCCCUCGGCGCACUGCUCAGUAACACGCGGACAAUCUGCCCUCAAGACGGGGAUAUUCCCGGGAAACUGGGGCUAAUACCCGAUAGACCUGAGAUGAUGGAAGGCUCCCAGGUCGAAAUCCUCCGGGGCUUGAGGAUGGGUCUGCGGCCUAUCAGGUUGUAGGGGGUGUCACGGACCCCCUAGCCGAAGACGGGUACGGGCUUUGGGAGAAGUCGCCCGGAGAUGGAUUCUGAGACACGAAUCCAGGUCCUACGGGACGCAGCAGGCGCGAAACCUCCACAAUGUGGGAAAUCACGAUGGGGGAACUCCAAGUGCCUACGCUUUAAGUGUAGGCUGUUCUCGAGCCUAAAAAGCUCGAGAAGUAAGGGCCGGGUAAGACGGGUGCCAGCCGCCGCGGUAAUACCCGCGGCCCGAGUGGUGCUCAUUAUUAUUGAGCCUAAAGCGUCCGUAGCUGGCCGGGCAAAUCUCCGGGUAAAUCGGGCAGCUCAACUGUCCGAAUUCCGGAGACACUGCUCGGCUUGGGAUCGGGAGAGGGUGAAGGUACUCCCUGGGUAGGGGUAAAAUCCUGUAAUCCGGGGGGGACCACCAGUGGCGAAGGCGUUCACCUAGAACGAAUCCGACAGUGAGGGACGAAGCCCUAGGGCGCAAACGGGAUUAGAUACCCCGGUAGUCUAGGGUGUAAACGCUGCAGACUUGGUGUUGGGGGUCCUGCGUGGGCUGCCAGUGCCGGAGCGAAGGUGUUAAGUCUGCCGCUUGGGGAGUACGGUCGCAAGACUGAAACUUAAAGGAAUUGGCGGGAGAGCACCGCAACGGGAGGAGCGUGCGGUUCAAUUGGAUUCAACGCCGGAA